rnacentral:rRNA from 1 species
UACGGAGGGUGCGAGCGUUGUCCGGAAUCACUGGGCGUAAAGGGCGCGUAGGUGGCGCAGGAAGUCAACGGUGAAAGUUCGGGGCUCAACCCUGAAUCGGCCGUCGAUACUCCUGGGCUCGAGCACUGUAGAGGCAGAUGGAAUUCCGGGUGUAGCGGUGGAAUGCGUAGAGAUCCGGAAGAACACCGGUGGCGAAGGCGGUCGUG